GGCCAGGAGAUGGAGAGAGGGAGCAGGAAGAGCCGAGGGAGUACCAACAGCGUCGAGCUGACAGUUUGUGGGAGUAUCUCACAGAUUUCCACUGAAAACGUUUAAUCGCCGCGGACUGCAUUAGCAGUGGUGUGUGUAUGGGCCGACCCAAGGUUGUAAGAGGCCCCAAGCAGAAGCUCAUGUGAGGGGCUACUUCCGGUUUGGCCCUCCAGUCACAACAGUACCACUGACCUGCCUUUUAUAUUGUCCAUGGUCGAUCUUUGUUUUUUUCAUUUAGAAUUUAACAUGGUUUGCAGUUAAAUUAAAACGACAACGUAAAACAUG